AAGAGAACUAGAUGUUAUCUAGUGUUAUCCUGCUGAUCCCAAUUUCCUAUAGUUCUGGCACCAGAAAAUCCUGAAUGAUAGGUUUUUCUGAAGCUGCUGACAUCGGGUCAGCCCUCAACACCAUCACCUUUGGCCAUGUUCAGGAAGUACUCAAAGGUAACACUGGCAGCCAAGAGCAGGCCAAUCAAUGUCUGGCCACCACCCUAAUCCCACCUGGACAGUCACACCCCACCUCCCUAUGUGUGUUCGCACAGUGGGGGUGAUAUCAUGUGGGUCUGGCCUGUCCUGAGCAGAACCUGGUGUUGGGUUGUCAGAAACCCAGUGACCCAUCACGUUCACUCUUCAGAUCAUGGCUCAAAAGUCUGCAGAGCAGAGACAAGAGAUUGACAAAGAGGUGUUGAUGAGUGAGAUGUUACUGUUCUGCUCUGGAGAAGAUACUGUCAGAUAAUGUCCCGCAUUUCCAUCAGCUGGCAUGCAUGCCUUUGGACUCGGACAGGGUUCUUUGGAUUGUAGCUGAAUUUUCAAUGUUUAGUCAAUAUGGAUCUGAUCUCCGCAUGAUCUUUUUUGUGAAUGCCAACACCAUUUUGUAACUUUUUUCCAUUCUAAAC
rnacentral:lncRNA from 1 species